rnacentral:pre_miRNA from 1 species
ACUGAAUCUUGCGGUGGGUACCAGCUUCGCACGGCCGUACUGUACUGUACAUCAAGCUUGCUUUCCGACUCAAGGUAGCACCACAGGAUUCAGCUU